GACGAACGCUGGCGGCGUGCUUAACACAUGCAAGUCGAACGGAAAGGCCCUGCUUUUGUGGGGUGCUCGAGUGGCGAACGGGUGAGUAACACGUGAGUAACCUGCCCUUGACUUUGGGAUAACUUCAGGAAACUGGGGCUAAUACCGGAUAGGAGCUCCUGCUGCAUGGUGGGGGUUGGAAAGUUUCGGCGGUUGGGGAUGGACUCGCGGCUUAUCAGCUUGUGGGUGGGGUAGUGGCUUACCAAGGCUUUGACGGGUAGCCGGCCUGGGAGGGUGACCGGCCACAUUGGGACUGAGAUACGGCCCAGACUCCUACGGGAGGCAGCAGUGGGGAAUAUGGCACAAUGGGCGGAAGCCUGAUGCAGCAGCGCCGCGUGCGGGAUGACGGCCUUCGGGUUGUAAACCGCUUUCGCCUGUGACGAAGCGUGAGUGACGGUAAUGGGUAAAGAAGCACCGGCUAACUACGUG
rnacentral:rRNA from 1 species